AUUGAACGCUGGCGGCAUGCCUUACACAUGCAAGUCGAACGGCAGCACGGGAGCAAUCCUGGUGGCGAGUGGCGAACGGGUGAGUAAUAUAUCGGAACGUGCCCGGUCGUGGGGGAUAACGUAGCGAAAGCUACGCUAAUACCGCAUACGAUCUACGGAUGAAAGCGGGGGGAUCGCAAGACCUCGCGCGAUUGGAGCGGCCGAUAUCAGAUUAGGUAGUUGGUGAGGUAAAGGCUCACCAAGCCGACGAUCUGUAGCUGGUCUGAGAGGACGACCAGCACACUGGGACUGAGACACGGCCCAGACUCCUACGGAGGCAGCAGUGGGGAAUUUUGGGACAAUGGGCGCAAGCCUGAUCCAGCAAUGCCGCGUGCAGGAUG
rnacentral:rRNA from 1 species